rnacentral:tRNA from 3 species
UGUCCGAUGGUGUAACUGGCAACACGUCUGAUUUUGGUUCAGAAGAGUCCAGGUUCGAAACCUGGUCGGACAACAA